rnacentral:rRNA from 1 species
ACACGUGGCUAACCUGCCCUUGGGACGAGAACAACCCCGGGAAACUGGGGAUAAUCCUCGAUAGGUGAAGAACUCUGGAAUGAGUCUUUGCUUAAAAGGCGUUGGAUCAUGCUUUCAGCGCCGCCCAAGGAUGGGGCCGCGACCGAUCAGGUUGUUGGUGAGGUAAUGGCCCACCAAGCCUUUUACCGGUGCGGGCCGUGAGAGCGGGAGCCCGGAGAUGGGCACUGAGACAAGGGCCCAGGUCCUACGGGGCGCAGCAGUCGCGAAGACUUUGCAAUACACGAAAGUGUGACAGGGUCAUCCCGAGUGCCGACCGCUGAGGUUGGCUUUUACCCAGUCUAGAAAGCUGGGGGAAUAAGGAGAGGGCAAGUCUGGUGUCAGCCGCCGCGGUAAUACCAGCUCUCCGAGUGGUGUGGACGUUUAUUGGGCCUAAAGCAUCCGUAGCUGGCUGAACAAGUCCCCUGUUAAACCCACCGAUUUAAUCGUUGGUCUGCGGGGGAUACUGCUCGGCUAGGGGACGAGAGAGGCAGACGGUAUUCCCGGGGUAGGGGUGAAAUCCUAUAAUCCCGAGAAGACCACCAGUGGCGAAGGCUGUCUGCUAGAACGCGCCCGACGGUGAGGGAUGAAAGCUGAGGGAGCGAACCGGAUUAGAUA